rnacentral:lncRNA from 1 species
GGAAAGGGAAGUUCCUGAGAUCGCGUUGGUGGAGGUGGGCACGAGGGCAGCACCCCAGCCCCCACUUGGAGCUGUCCUGUGCCUCCCAUGCUGCCUGACAGGGAAACUGGGAGCUGAGCACCCUGAAGCCUUUCAGGAAGUAACCAGAGGAGCAGCUCCCGCUGCCAAGCGCUGUGCUGCGCUCCCACGGGCUGUUGCGCCUGCCCUGCAAGGGGACACACGGACGGACCCCUCUACAGAGGACGUAGACUCAGGGCACUGACUGCUCAAGGCUACAGACCCAGAGCUGCCUCGUCCCCAGCCUCGGUAGGCACAGGGGCAGGGCUCCCUUCUCCCUGGUGAUGACUGCCCACUGGACCCAGUGGUCGGUGGAGGAAGAGGGCUCUGGGAAAGGAGGAGUCACAAGUCUCCUCAGCCCAUCAGUCCCUCUUGUGGGGCUAUCAUGACCCUCAGGGACAUUAGGGGCCCUGGAGGCUUCUCUGCCUCAGUUUCCCCAUAUGUCAGAUGGGGUGAGGAGGGUCUCUGUAGCCCUGGGGGUGCUCUCCAAGCUUCCAGGCCUGGUGUGGACAGUCUGGCCCAGGCCUUCACAGGGGCACAGGAGGAGAACACAGAGCUUGCCUCCAUUCCUGCUGGGGCCUGAGGCCCGAGUCCAGAGCUCAGGCAGGUGGCCCUGCAGCUCUGGUGGCCCCUGCUUUUCAGCCUCACAGUUGCCCAUUAUUCUUAUUUUUAAUAUCCUUAAAAAAUGUAAUGAGAGGAAGGGAAAACAGGCCUGGUGGGGCCAGAAAUCUCUGUUUCCUCUCAGCCAGGAAACAGGAAGUGCUUGUGCAGGGGAGAUGGGGAACCGGCCCCAGAGAACAAUGGGAGCCCCUCCAGAGGGGAAGGGCAACUGCGUCAGGCCCGGGGCUGCAGGAAGCCGACCCCCGCACCCUGGCGGAGACAUGGAUCUAGCCUGGCUUGUGUUGCUGUGAAACUCAGGAGCUCCUCUAGUGGGAGUAGGAGGAGCUGGCCCCAGUCCGGGAAGUCAGGCUCCUGGGGUCUUAGCGACCAUCUGACUGUCCUGUUUCACCUGUGUAAACUGGAGUCCAGACAGCAAGAAGCUGGCCUGGGCACCUGGGAGUAGGAGACAGCACACCAUGGCCAUCCUGUCGGGGUUGAGAUUGGAGGCUGCAGGUUGCCGGCCUUCAGCCCCCUCCACCACCUGCCCCUGGAUCUUCUGCGGCAGGAGAGGGAUGGGGAGGCAGGUGCUGAGCCUGCUGGACAGCAUGAGCCCAGGGCUCCCAGUAACACUGCCAGGCCUCUGCACUGGCCGGGCUCCUGUGGGCUCCUGUCAGCCUCCAGGUCUGCCUGAGCUCCACUGAGAAGCUGUACAGCCUGCCCACUUAAAUGAGUAAUUCCAUGUGGGAACAGUCAAGAGCAGCUGUGGGUCAGCGAGCUGUGGCCCUCGGGCCCAGGCGCCCGCUCACCUACUACCUGCCUCUAGUUUGUCCUCUGGACAUUCCCAUGUGCGUGGAGGGCAGUGUGAGGUCUUUGGUCACUGGCUUCUUUCACUGAUUGUCUCCAGAUCCUUCCAAGUUGGAGCAUGGGUGAGAGCUGUGUUCCCUCCUGUGUCGAGAGUGUCCAGUGUGACUGGGCACUCAGUGCUUGUCCUGGUCCCUGGUGGGCCUCCGCCCUGUCUCUACCCUUGGCUGGUUUGAACUCAUUGCUGUGAACAAGCAUCUGCAUGGCUUGGCGGGGACUUUGGCUCCUUUCUCUCACGCAUGCACCAGGGCCAGGGGUUUAUAGCAACACGUGGUCAGUGGCUGCCCUGCUAUGCCUUCCGAGCCUGUGGUUUCUGACACACAAACUUUGGAAAGCCCCAGGGAAGCUAGAGGGCUAGUGGGGACAGGGCAGAGGUGUCCCCAGAUCCUGCCAGGAUGUGCACAAGAGGGUGGUGUGGGGAACGUGCAGGAGCUGCCCUCUCUGUCCUCCCCUGCCCAGGCACAGAGCUGACCCUAACCCUCACCCCCAUAAGGCUCAGAGGCAUGCCCUACAGUGUGCCCAUCUGCAGUUGAGGACUGGGGCUUGCCUGAGGCUUCAGCCUGGGAGAAGCAGAGUGAACUGGGCAGCGGCUGCCUGGCCUCAGAACCAGGUCUGUCCUCCUGGGUGGGAGGUGGCUGAAGGAGCAAGGAAGCAGCACUCCCAGCCAGCCUGGUGGGAAUGAGUCCUGCAAGACGGAGCCCAAGUGGGCAGGAGGCCCAGCUGUCCUCUCCUGCACCUGAGAGGGCUCAGUGGCUUCUCCUUGCCUGCAGGAGCCCUUGGGCCAGGACAGGGUACAGGCUCCCAUGGGCUGUGGGGCCAGUGGCUAACCUCCCUCCAAAUGUUCAAGGGGCCGGACAAGAUGAGACUUCCUUUCUGCAGAUUCCCGUGGGGUCAGAUCCCAGUGGGGGUCUGCCCUGAGCCUGCUGACCUGGUCAGACCCCCCCCAGGAGGUGACCCCUGGUGCGCUCUCAGGCUGCCCACUGGAAUGUGUAGCUGUUCCGCCUCAGCGCCCGGAAAGCAUCUGCAGCCCGGACCCAGCCUGCUCUCCCUGCCCUGGCUCUUGAUCCCGGACAAAGGAGCCAGGGCCAGGAAGGUGAGGCGCCACCCACCAGUGGGGCAGGGGCUGUGCUGGGAACUCGCCAGCUCUGGGCCUGGGGCUCUCAGGUUCUUCUCUGGGCCCCCGCUUCUGCCCUAGAUUCUCAGGGGUCUAUCAAGACCCCUUCCAAAUGCAUCCACCAUCAUGCCAGGAGAGAACUAGGGCCCAGAGAGGUUGCCCAAGUCCCACAACAGCAAGAGACAAAGCCAGAGCAGAAUUCAGGUCACUCUGUGGCCAAGUCUGUGUCCCCUGCCCUCUCCCACCUGUGGCUCCCAGUUCAAGGAUUCCCAUGGCUGGGCAGCCAGGUGCUCCAGGCCUGGAUCCCUGUCUCCUCUCCUCCCAGAGUGCUGGUCCCGCCCUGUUCUUUCCCACUUGUCCCUCUGGGGUGACUGUGUGAAGGUGGCCCUGGGCUUUUCCCAGGCAGAGGGGGCAGGGCACUCCCAGGCCCUGGCAGCCCCUCCGCCCCAGGAGGGAGCCCACCAUGUGGGGGUUUCGGCACCACUGCUACAGGCCGCCAUGUGGACCUCGGGACACCCACUGGACUCAGCUAGGAUGCCCAGCUCCCCCGCCCCCACGCUCAGGCCUGCUGGGGACCACUGCUUCUCCAGUCAAGCCCUGCCCUGGACAAUGGCCGGAAACCCUGGCUCAGACUGCAGGCCGGCACGUGGGCCCCGGGGGAAGCGGGGGCUGCUGAGUGAGCCAGGCUCUCCCCCAGCGGCCCUCACAGAAACCUGCUGUCGCUGCCUCCAGGCCACAUGUGGACACUGCCCCUUGGAGGCCUGGGAAGGCAGAAGGUUCAGGAAGUUGGCCACAGAUGGGCCUCAGGCCCUGGGCUCAGAGAGGGACUUCCACCUUGUCCCCACCACCAGACCCCAUGGGUUGAGGGACAGAGCGGGAGGGCUCAGGAACUGUGGUCCAUGAAGAUGAUGGCGAUUGUCACCACUGGUGGGAGGGCUGCAGGGCACCGGACCCCCACCCCGUCUGGCCCCCUGUCUGGAAGGAUGCUGCUCCCAGGGCCCCCUGAGAACAGGUCCCAGCACAGCACACUGGCAGGGAGGGCUGAUUCCAUUGCACAGCAAGGCUGCAGGCUGGACACUCCCAAGGACAGAGCCGUCAUCACCAGGAGCCAGCACCAGCUGAGGGACCUCGGGGGCGGCAGCAGGAAGACCACUCCAGGCCUGCGGAUAAUUUAUUUGUUGAUAUUCAUUUUAUGAUUCCAAAAUAAGAAUUGAUUUCUUGCUUGUUGUCCAGCUCUCGAGAGGAGCCGGUUGGAUCUGAGGCACAAAAGCAGGACAGAGAAGCCCCCACGACCCAGCUUUUGGGAGCUUCUGUGAGCCAGGCCCUGUUCUUACUGAGACUGAUCCUCACAUGCCUGCUCAGAGAGGAGUCCUUGUGCCCCACCCCCCCAACAGAAAGAAGCCAUCCAGCUGAGUCCCAGCUCCAUAGCGUCAGAGACAGGCCUCCAUGUUGGUGACAGGGACAGAUGUCCCUUAGAUCAACUGAGGUGAAAUUAAGACAGGUAUACACUUUUUUGGGGGGGUACUGGGGAUUGAACUCAGGGGCACUUGACCACUGAGCCCCAUCCCAGCCCUAUUUUGUAUUUUAUUUAGAGACAGGGUCUCACAGAGUUGCUUAGGGCCUUGCUUUUGCUGAGGCUGGCUUUGAACUUGCGAUCCUCCUCCCUCAGCCUCCCAAGCUGCUGAGAUUACAGGAGUAUGCCACUGUGCCUGGCUGACAUAUGUAUUCAUAAGAGCCUGUUUUUAGAGCAGUUUUAGGUUCACAGCCAAACAGGAAGGUGCAUAGAUUUCCCAGGCACCUGGGCCCCUCACAUGUAGCCUCCUGGGUCAGUGUCCCCCAGAAUGAGGCCACGUGGACACGCCAUCAUCACCUAGGGUCCACAGUGCCCUGAGGGUUUGCACAGGUGUAGCUGAGCCACCCUCACCUUGAGGACCAAGGUGGAGUUUCCCCACAGCAAGCCCAACGCACUUACGGCAUCAGCAAAGCUGUGCCGAGGAAUCCCGAGAGGACUGGUAGCCAUUCCACGCCCCUGGAAGCACCCCAUGCCCCACCCAGCCCAGCAGCAUUCAGUGCCUGCCGCUCCCUGGACCUUCAAGUCUCUGGAGCUGCCCAGCCAGGGCCUGCUCAGGAUCCCACCGCGGAGAGCUGCUCACUCCUUUGCACUGCCCCAGCCUGGCUCCAGCUCAGGGCCCAAGCACAGACGGGUGGAGAGAGCGCAGCACACAGGAGAACAGGAGGGGAAGAGUGGGGUGCUACUCAAACAAAGGGUUCAUGGCGACUCAGGGGGACCUGGAGGACAUUACACGAAGUGGUCUGGGCAGGGAGAGGCCAGGUGCAGCCCUUGCCCUGGAGAGCUCCAGAGUCCAGCUCACAGAGCAGCGAGAGGGAGCCGUGCAGUGGGAGGGUGUGAGGUCGCAGACUUUGGUCAAAGCACACAAACUUUCAGCUAGACCCGAGGAGUACCCCCAUGAAAUACAGAGCGAGGCGGGGACUCCAGCAGCAAUGUGGUACUGUGAUCUUGAACCCCAGGGGUGGCAUCUUCUUUAAUUCUUGCUGUGCUGAGGUUCAAACCCAGGUUCUUGGGGACCUACCACCGAGCUGCCCCUCAGCCCCUAAGGGAAUGGAUUUUAAGUGCUGUCACCAGAGAAAAAUGACAGUGAGGUAAUGCUUGUGUUGGUUAGCCGGAUUAGGCCCUCCACGGUGUACACAAACUUAAAACUCAUGGAUGACAUACGUCUAUACAAUUUUUAUUCUUGACUGAAAACAAAAAAUUCAAGGUGCUGGGGAAAGAAGAAAUCCUGAAGACGGCCGGGGAGACGGUGGAGGUGAGGCGCUGGCCGCUGAGCCUCUCCUUAACAGGGCCCCAGCUCCUCUCGGAUGCAGCUUCGGGCCCAUGGAAUGGCACCUCGGGGAAUUUGCUGUUUUCCUAACUUUCAGAGCAGUGAGGGACACUGGGGACUGGGGACGUUCCUCCGUGGAUGCGUUCUCUGCUCAGGAGCCCAUGGCGUCCAAUUCUCCUGUGUGAGAACCCCUUCUGAACUGAGGGGCGCUCAGUGGUUCCAGGGGCCGUGGCUGACAUCCUGCAGCCCUGUGCAGUGGUGUGAGGAUCUGCUCCUCAGCAGGCUGGGCUGGGAGUGGGGCCCCGGGAUGUCCUAGCUGAGUGUGGGUGCCCUGAACACGGGGGGGGGGAGUGGUGCUGCAGCUCAUGCCAUCUGGAUAGUCACAGAAGAUGCUGGAACAUGUGCUCUGCAUCAUCCCCAAAUUCACCCUGUCUGAAAGACGGCUAAAUAGAACUUGUGUUAUGUACAUCUCCCUGCAGUUUGAAAGAAUCAAUAAUGUGGUACACCCAAGCCACAGAGGCAGAUAGUUGUCAUGGGAAUGGCAUAUUAAUAAAGCUAAGAAGGAUAAGAGGGAGGGCAGGAGGGCAUCUGUCCACGUGGGCAGGUGUGGCCAGGCCAGGCUGCCCUCUGCCCACUAGGCACUGCCAAUGCACUCUGAGGCUCUUUCCAAUCGGGCAAGAUGAGGGGUCUACUUUAGGGGGCCCUGGGGACCUGUAGUGGGCUGAGGCCUCAGUGCGGGACGGAGGUCUUCUGGAUGCGUUCUCUGCUCAGGAGCCCGUGGCGUCCAAUUCUCCUGUGUGAGAACCCCUUCUGAACUGAGGGGCGCUCAGAGCUGGUGGUCCCAGGGGCCGUGGGACAAGGAGGGACAAGGAGGCCACAGCAGGAUGACACCUUCGACCACUGAGAAGGGAGACCAGGGAGUGGGAAUGGUGGGGCUGCCUGGCCUUCAAAGGGCUUCCUGACCUCAGCCAAGGGCCACUCCUGGGGCUCAGCAGGUGGGCGAGGAUUCCCCCUGAUGGAAGCCUUUCUCGGCCCAGCACAGUGGUCUUCUGUGAGGUCACUGCAUGGGCACUGUGGGCUACGGGGGCAGAGAUAACAGUCCUCUCAGGGAUGCUGGGCUGAGAGGGCCAUCUUAAGACAGAUGACAGACACAGGAGCCCUGGGAGGGACACAUAGGUUGAGCCAGGCCCAAGCCUUUCUGGGACCUCAAGAUGGACAGAGAGUAGCGUCCAACACCCAAGGGAGAGCCCCAAGUGUGCUGGCAGCUGGAGGGAAGAUGGGGCCCCUCCCUGAGCUGGAGGGCGAGGGGCGGAGCCUCUGCUCAGGAGCUCUGGUGUUUUGUGUCCAUCCAUCUCAGCAGCCUCCGUGGAGUGGACUCUCCAGGUUCUGGCUUCAGGCUGGCAACCCUUGUGUCCAGGUAUGUGCCAGGCCCAGCAGUCACUGCACAGGGGCCUCAAACUCCCCCAGGCCCGGACCCCAGGGACUUCAGAGCCAGGGGCAGAGAGAGGCAGAGGGGAGGAGGGUGCAGGCCACGGUCUUCCCGCCCUGGCCAGCCCCUGCAGGAAAGGCUGGCCGGAGCUGAGACAAAAGGCGGACGUGCAGCUGGCCAUGUGCGCCUUAUCAGGGCCUGCACCCGCUGCACCCCAGCCGGCUCGGAAGUGCUCCUGUAGCCUGCCUUCCUGCCACUCCCCCGCCCCAACGGUGAGCUGCUAGAGACAAGGAGGCCACAGCAGGAUGACACCUUCGACCACUGAGAAGGGAGACCAGGGAGUGGCGGGGCUGCCUGGCCUUCGGAAGCCAUCUGAGACCGCAUUGAUCCUGCCAGUACUCUCCCACUCUUCAGAUGAGGAAAAUGAGGUCCAGAGCAGCCUCAGCCCCUCAAGGUCAGCCCCAUCCAGGGGAGGACAGGGCAUUCCCUGCCACCCACUGAAAAUCAUAGGUUCCCCUGCAGUUCCUUAGAGAUGCUGUGGGGACUGAGGCCCCAGCUGCCCUCUGGAGGACAAGGGGCCUCAUGGGACAGGGUGAGGUUGUUUGGCACUAUCCCCACUCCCCACUCCCCACUCCCAGGGCCAACCUGAAGGACAGUGAGUGGCAGAGGGGAGGACACAGGACUCACUCCCCAGCCCAGGGCUUUCUCUCCAUGGGGCUGCAAGGAGAUCUGCCUGGACUGAGCUGUGGGAGGUGUGUCCAGUGCUCCCUCAGUCACCCCCCAGGCACAAAGGACUUCCCCCUCCCUGUAGAGGGUGACAUCCAGCCCUCCAGGCUGGUCAGCAUUGGGGUGAAGACCCCCCAACACACUAAACCUGGGGGUAGGGGGGAGUAAAGUCCCCUCAGCCCUCCUGACACUUGCCUCGAGAAGGGGCCAGACUCUCACAGGCCCCCACUUCUGCCCAAGAGAGGAGGGGCCCCGGAAGAAGCCCUCCGACUCGGUGACCUUCUGUCCUGUGGCAUCAUCCUCAGAGGUGGCUGGGCCAAGGGGACAGGGGCUGCCGAGUGCUCUGUGCACACCCAGGGAACACCGGAAGCCAGUCCCUGGUUUGGAUCCUGGUUUGGUUUUAGGAUGUGGCCUCCUUGUCCUUCCUGAGAGUGGCGGAGCUCUGCCAUCCCGUGGGCAAAGUGCUGGGUGUGCCAUCUGCCUGUGAGGGCUCCACACUGGCCUGGCCAGGGCUUGUGACACACAGGCCGGGGUGUGUCCUGCUGCCCGUGGGGGCCGGCCAGGCCAUCCUCUGUGGGCCUGCAGGUGGACCAGGCCCAUCGCCAACGCUGGGCCCAGCCCUGCCUCAGUUUCCCAUCACAUGGAGCCUGGCCCUGUGGCCUGGCCUAGAGGGCGCGACCUGGCCAGAGAGAGGCCACGUUCACAUCCAGAGCACGUCCACACUCAGGCCCUGGCCUGGCCUGGCCUGCAGCCCUGCUGCUGCUCAUUUGACAGGACAGAGGAAGUCCCCAGGGCCUGCCUCCAUUGGCUGAUCUCACCCCUCUGGGGCUGCCCAGGAAGCAUGGGGUGCUCUGGGGAUCCCUGACCCUGUAGCAGAGCCAUGGCCCCGGGCCCAGUUGCUGUGGCCUCUGACUGCUGUGGCCUGGUCCCAGCUCCACACUCUCUGAGGCCUGCAAGUCACGGGAAGUGGCUGGGGCUUUCCUGACACCCAGCUCCCUCUCCAUGCUGGGCACUGGGGCCAGGGACUUGGCCCACAGUCUCCAGACACAGGGCCUAGUGCUCAGGGGGCUGGCCUGCCCAGGGGUAGGCAUGUGGGCACAAGGCCAGGGGGAGUAGGGCCAGGGAGGGUCCCGGUUCCAGAACCCUGAGACCCCUGGGACUGAGCUGGGUCCUCUGCCUCCAAAGUAGGUGGGCAGGGGGGCUGCCGAUGCAGUUCACCCAUUUCCCAUGGGCGGCAGUGUUUCCCCACUGGGCGGGACGGGUGGACCCUGCGGGGCCAGUCCUGGACCCAGCUCUGCAGACCCUGAGUGUGGAAGGCGUGGCCUAUCGCUGACAGCCCAGCAGCCCCAUGCAUACUGCUGGC